CAACAGCCAAUUAAGCCCACAGUGCUUAAGCCCUCCCCAUGGUGCCUGGUGGUGCAGUGACUGCAAACAGCAGCCUCCUUGGUAGUGUAUGCAGCCUGUUGCUUGUAUAGGCUGCCCUAAGGGACCCUGGAGACAGCC
rnacentral:snoRNA from 1 species